rnacentral:rRNA from 1 species
AACGAACGCUGGCGGCAUGCCUAACACAUGCAAGUCGAACGAAGGCUUCGGCCUUAGUGGCGCACGGGUGCGUAACGCGUGGGAAUCUGCCCUUUGCUUCGGAAUAACAGUUAGAAAUGACUGCUAAUACCGGAUGAUGUCGCAAGACCAAAGAUUUAUCGGCAAAGGAUGAGCCCGCGUAGGAUUAGCUAGUUGGUGGGGUAAAGGCCUACCAAGGCGACGAUCCUUAGCUGGUCUGAGAGGAUGAUCAGCCACACUGGGACUGAGACACGGCCCAGACUCCUACGGGAGGCAGCAGUGGGGAAUAGUGGACAAUGGGCGAAAGCCUGAUCCAGCAAUGCCGCGUGAGUGAUGAAGGCCUUAGGGUUGUAAAGCUCUUUUACCCGGGAUGAUAAUGACAGUACCGGGAGAAUAAGCUCCGGCUAACUCCGUG